AACGAACGCUGGCGGCAUGCCUAACACAUGCAAGUCGAACGAGACCUUCGGGUCUAGUGGCGCACGGGUGCGUAACGCGUGGGAACCUGCCCUUAGGUUCGGAAUAACUCCCCGAAAGGGGUGCUAAUACCGGAUAAUGUCUUCGGACCAAAGAUUUAUCGCAUUUGGAUGGUCCCGCGUUGGAUUAGCUCGUUGGUAGGGUAAAAGCCUACUAAGGCGACGAUCCAUAGCUGGUUUGAGAGGAUGAUCAGCCACACUGGGACUGAGACACGGCCCAGACUCCUACGGGAGGCAGCAGUGGGGAAUAUUGGACAAUGGGCGAAAGCCUGAUCCAGCAAUGCCGCGUGAGUGAUGAAGGCCUUAGGGUUGUAAAGCUCUUUUACCCGGGAUGAUAAUGACAGUACCGGGAGAAUAAGCUCCGGCUAACUCCGUG
rnacentral:rRNA from 1 species